UACGAAGGGGGCUAGCGUUGUUCGGAAUCACUGGGCGUAAAGGGCGCGUAGGCGGCCGAUCAAGUCGGGGGUGAAAUCCCGGGGCUCAACCUCGGAAUUGCCUUCGAUACUGUUAGUCUUGAGUCCGGGAGAGGUGAGUGGAAUUCCUAGUGUAGAGGUGAAAUUCGUAGAUAUUAGGAAGAACACCAGUGGCGAAGGCGGCUCACUGGCCCGGUACUGACGCUCAUGUGCGAAAGCGUGGGGAGCAAACAGG
rnacentral:rRNA from 1 species